rnacentral:rRNA from 1 species
GGAAGUAAAAGUCGUCACAGGG